CUAAUAGGAGACAAGAGCAUAUGGUGGAUGCCUAGGUUUGAAAUGGCGAUGAAGGACGUGGACAAUCUGCGAUAAGUCUCGGGGAGCCGAUUCUCAGGCUUUGAUCCGGGAAUUUCCUAAUGGGGGAACCCCUCUGCUUUUAUAGGCAGAGAUCCGACAGGGAUAACUUCUGUUGGAGGCGCACCUGGGGAAGUAAAACAUUUCAGUACCCAGAGGAAAAGAGACCAAAUAAGGAAUUUCCUUAGUAGCGGCGAGCGAAACGGAACCAGCCCAAACCCUCCUUCGCUUUGUGCUUCGCACAAAGCUUUGGAAGGCACAGCUCUUAAUAUACAAGGGGCCGUGCCCUCCCGAAGCUCGUAGCGGAGCGUAGAGCGAAGGAGGGGGUUAUAAGACAAUAGACAUCAUAUGAUGCGCGAUGGGCUUGACUCAUUUAACGAGUCGAGCAUGUCGUGCAGACAGGAUGAGCGAGGUUACAAAUCGUGAGGAUAGGAGAAAGUGCUGGAAAAGCACUAUCAGAGAGGGUGAUAAUCCCGUAUCCGAAAUCUGAACGACCUUUUUUAUUGCUCUUGAGUACUUCGAGACAUGAAUAGCUCGGAGGAAUUUGCCAGUACUCACUGGUAAGGCUACAUACAUUUCAAAACCGAUAGUGAACAAGUACCGUGAGGGAAAGGUGAAAAGAACCCCGGCAAGGGGAGUGAAAUAGAACUGAAACCAUAUGUUUACAAAGAGUCGAAGUCGCGUCUGACGCGACGACGGCGUGCCUAUUGAAGAAUGAGCCAACGAGUGUAUCGAUACUGCUCGGCUAAGGUGUUACGCACCGUAGUCACAGCGAAAGCGAGUGUGAUAAGCGCGACCAAUGUAGUAUCUAUACGACCCGAAGCAGAGUGAUCUUACCAUGAGCAGGAUGAAGUUCGCCGAAAGGCGAAUGGAGGUCCGAACCGGGGCGCCGUACGAAACGCUCGGAUGACUUGUGGUAGGGAGUGAAAAGCUAAUCGAACUCUGUAAUAGCUGGUUCUCUCCGAAACAGCUUUUGGGUUGGCGUCAUGAGUUCCCACUGGGGGUAGAGCACUGGAUAGUAUCGGAUAGCGGGAAACCGCGCCGAGCUUAUCAAACUCCGAAUACCAGUGGCCAUAUCAUGGCAGUUAGUCUAUGGGCGCGAAGGUCCAUUAGACAAAAGGGAAACAGCCCAGAUCGCCAAAUAAGGUCCCUAAAUCUAUGUUAAGUGCAAGUAAGGAGGUGAAGUUUCUCCGACAAUCAGGAGGUUGGCUUAGAAGCAGCCACCCUUUAAAGAUAGCGUAACAGCUCACUGAUCAAGAGACUCUGCACCGCUAAUAAUCGGGGCUCAAACAUAGUACCGAAUUUGCGGGUUUUCUUGCCCUCGGGCAAGGAAGCGGUAGGAGAGCGUUGUCAUCUGCGUUGAAGCUGAAGGGGUAACCCACAGUGGAGCGUUGACAAGUGAGAAUGUUGGCACAAGUAACCACAACACAGGUAAA
rnacentral:ncRNA from 1 species